GGACGAGGAAGAUAAAAUAAAUUAUGAAUUAAACAAGUUUAUUUUGCCUGUCAGAUAAAAAGAAAUUAAUUUGAAGCUAUUUUCUCAGUUUUUUUUCCUCUCUUUGCUGCUGUACAAGAUCCACAAGUAUCUAACUAAAAGUUCAUACAACCACCAAGCUGCAGCAACACCCUUUUUUGCAAACUGAAUGCAACAAUUUCCAUUCAUGCUCUCAACGUCGAGAGCAGAUCGUGCUGAAGUCCGUCUUCAUAUUGUCGUAAAAUUACUAUGAAGAGUGAGCUUCAAGCUUGGGAAGAAGACUUCGCCAUGCAUCUGCUAUGCCAUUAGAUAGCCGCGCCUGUCCCUUAGCAAAUUCAUGGAAAGCAAGUCCCAUAUCUGAUGUCUUCUGUUCUUGAAAUCGGACAAUCUCUUCGUUCAUAAGCCUUACUAUCGUAUCAAAUCUUCUCGAUGUUUCUUCCCCUUCAGCCUUAAGCAUUUCAUACUCGCGCUCAGCCUCAGCCAACUUCUCUGAUCGUGUCAGCUUGUAUUUAUUUAAAUCAAUUUCCUUAAACUUAAUUGUCUCAGCCAGUUCACACUGUUUCUUGAAUGCAGUUGCUCUCUCUGCUAUCGUAGCCUUAAUAGAUUGCACUGCUCGAACAUAAUCCUUCAAAGGUUCUUCGAAGUUCAUUAAAAGGUGGUGGGCCUCUUUCUGCAGCUUAAUUGAUAUUAUCUCAGACUUUGCCCCAAGUUCUGAAAAUGCUUUUCCAAGGGCAUCAUCAUCACAAGUACCAAGAAGCUUGACUGCCUUUCCAAAGUCUGAGAGAGACUCGCCCAACUCUCUGUGCCUCUUGACAAGACGAUAUGCAUGCUUUUGAGCCUCAGCUAAAUGGUCCUCAAGCUCAAAGAUGUAGUUCUUCAUCUUCUCAUAUUCUGGGGUUGAUUCUUCAACUGGCUUUUCCUUCCCAAGAACAACAUCACUCACUUUAGAUUGGACAUCCUUAAAGAUUUGGAUCAAAUCUGCAGGCUUUUUCUUGAAAAUACCAGUCUCCUGGAACCUUGCUCUGUCCAUUGUCUGUUCAUCAGCCUGCAAGAAGAUUCUCAAAUCGUCACUUUGCCGAAGUUCAUGAUGUGAAGCUAUUCUGUUUACAAACACAUCCAGAGCUUGGCGCCUCAUUUCAAUAAAUUCUGCACUAAAUCUGAACUUCUCUACAGUGCUCUUCUCUGGAAGUGGAGGAAUAAAAAUGCCCUUGUAUUUCUCAAAAAGCCGAUCGUGUAACCAUACAAAAUCACUAUAACGUCGAAUCACAAUCUUUUCAUUCCCUUGGUACUCUGCCAAAUUU
rnacentral:misc_RNA from 1 species